rnacentral:snRNA from 1 species
GAAUUUACCUGGCAGGGUAGGUACCAUGAUCACAAUGGUGGUUUUCCCAGGGCAAGGCUAACGUGUUGCACUCAGUAUGUACUGAUCCCAUGAUUUCUCUAAAUGUGGGAAACUGGAUUGUAUAAAUUGUGGUAAUGCACUUUCUCCUGAAAAAA